rnacentral:rRNA from 1 species
AUGGCGACUGCGGUGUUCAUCCUCAACAGAUCGUACACCCGCAGCAUCGAUGGUAAGACUCCGUACGAGUUGUGGCACGACAAGAAGCCCGUCGUGCACUACCUGCGUGUCUUCGGGUGCAUGGCCUACGUCAAGAACACGCGGCCCGGGCUGAAGAAGCUCGACGGUCGCAACACGAAGAUGGUCUUCAUCGGCUAUGAGGCGGGCUCGAAGGCGUACAGGGUGUACGAUCCACUGACCAAGCGCGUGUACGCGUCGCGCGGCGUGGUGUUUGACGAGGGCGUGAGCUGGGAUUGGGCCGCCACCGACGUGCCCACAGCAGAGCCGCUCGUCGUCCACCAUGAGCUCCCGCUCACCACUGAGGUAUAG